UAAGGAAUAUUGGUCAAUGGGCGGAAGCCUGAACCAGCCAUGCCGCGUGCAGGAAGACGGCCCUACGGGUUGUAAACUGCUUUUGUACGGGAAUAAACCUACUUACGUGUAAGUAGCUGAAUGUACUGUAAGAAUAAGGAUCGGCUAACUCCGUGCCAGCAGCCGCGGUAAUACGGAGGAUCCAAGCGUUAUCCGGAUUUAUUGGGUUUAAAGGGUGCGUAGGCGGCCUAUUAAGUCAGGGGUGAAAGACGGUAGCUCAACUAUCGCAGUGCCUUUGAUACUGAUAGGCUUGAAUGCAGCUGAGGUAGGCGGAAUGUGACAAGUAGCGGUGAAAUGCAUAGAUAUGUCACAGAACACCGAUUGCGAAGGCAGCUUACUAAAGUGCGAUUGACGCUGAGGCACGAAAGCGUGGGGAUCAAACA
rnacentral:rRNA from 1 species